rnacentral:rRNA from 1 species
CUCGCCAGGGUACAACGAGCCACAGCUUAAAACCCAAAGGACUUGGCGGUGCUUUAGACCCCCCUAGAGGAGCCUGUUCUAGAACCGAUGAUCCCCGUUCAACCUCACCCUCCCUUGUCCCUUCCGCCUAUAUACCGCCGUCGCCAGCUUACCUUGUGAAAGUCCAACAGUAAGCAAAACCACCCCUCCUAAAAACGUCAGGUCGAGGUGUAGCGUAUGGGAGGGGAAGAAAUGGGCUACAUUCACUGAGCCAGUGAACACGAAUCUUGAAUUGAAAAAAACAAAUGAAGGAGGAUUUAGCAGUAAGGUGGCAUCAGAACGCCCAUCUGAAGACGGCCCUGAAGCGCGC